GCGCCCAUAGAUCAACUGGAUAGAUUGUCUGGCUACGAACCAGGAGGUUGGGAGUUCGAGUCUUCCUGGGCGCGCCA
rnacentral:tRNA from 3 species